UAGCCCUAAGCUUUUUGUGAAUACAGACUUCAUGUUUCAUUUUUCGGAUAUGCGUCAACACACGAAGAAGCCACUCCACUAAGCUUUAACUAUAAAACUGUCAAAGAUGGAAAUUGACUUCUGAGAAGUCUCGUGUUUUAUGCAAAUCUGUCAAAUUUCUGGACCAUGUAAGUUCGUAACGUUUGGUCAGUUGAGGUACCCCUCAGAAUAAGGAACUCAUUAAAGAGCACAAAAGUGCUUAGGGCGAAGCUGUGGUGCUCGUUAAAUACCAGCCUAUCAUCAGUAGUCAGGAGAUCAUUAUUCUGCCAUGAAAACUGAAGCUUGUAGUUUGGACUUGGUCAUCCAGGUGGAUGCCACACUCUACUGGUGGUUGAGGAUAUGAUUGUACCUGAUAUGAUUGUAGAGUGCUUGGGUAUACAACAGUACAUAAUAAAAGCACUAUAUAAAUGCUUCCUUCCUUCCUACCCAGGGUGAUGUCGCCACUUCAUGGUGGGUGCUUCACUAAGGGCUUGAGGGUUGAUAUUUUCAAGGGAUUGUACACGUUUCGUAGACGUGCCAGCCUUUCCUCACAUAAUAAGGCCUUGUGUCCCCUUUUAAUCAAAGGACCAGACCCAGGUUUGGGGAAAGAUGGUUCCCCAGUGCUGUCCUUCGGCUCAUGCUGCAGCUGGUCAUGAGUCCUGUUAUGGUUGUUGCGGCGACCCUCUAAGAUCCAUUUAUGCUGCAUGGCUUCCUGUGGUGUCAUGCGCAUCUUGGGGUCCCACCUGGAAAGGACAGCUGAUCAAGCUCAUUUCUGCCGGUGAAGAUGGGAUGCCCAGUGUGGAGCUCUGCUAGGACACAGCCAAGGCUCCACAUAUCUAUGGCAGUGCCAUAGGGCUGACGUAGCAGCAACUCAGGUGCACGGUACCACCGAGUUCCUAUGUAGCCGAAAACUACAGUGAACAUAGAGAUAAAGAUGAGAGUCAUGAAAAUGCAAGAAAAAAGAACCACCUAAAGCUUAACUCACCUUGCUCAUCUUCAUAGCAGCCACAUCCGAAAUCAGCCACCUUGAUGUCAGAGUGCUCUUCGUCGAUCGCCAGGAUGUUUUCCUAUACAGAGCAAUAGCAUUAUAGAGCAAAUUGUUUCACUGCAGAUCUUCCAACAGUGCAUCAGACCAAAAGCAAACAAAUCUGAAUACUUAUGAGGAUGUAAAAUUAAAAGGAUGUCGAGUGUUAGUCAACUUACAGGCUUGAGGUCAGCAUGUAUGAUCUUCUCAUCGUGAAGCACCUGCAGGCACUUCAGCAACGAGCAGGCAUAACGACGGACCAGAUUCUUGGAAAGGCCCUGGCGGUGUCGCUUUUUAAGAACCUCGUUCAGGUUUGAUCUAUGCAGAGAUAAAAACACACCAUUUUUUUAAGAAGCUGAUUAAGAUCUGACUUUCUGCUACAUGUGCCAACAUUUUAAAAAAUCGAUUGUCCUAGAAACUAGAAACUGCUGAAAUCUAUAUUCUCAUUCACACUCACCCCAGAAGCUCGAAGGCGAUGCAGAGGUGUUUGCGAAAGAUGAAGUGCUCUUUCAUUUGGACGGUCUUGGUGCUGGAGUCUUUGUCUUUCUUGAGCAGAGUCUCCAAAAUCUUGACCUCUGUCAUGGAAGUUUGAUCAUCUUUCCUGUUACACAACAGAGACAUACUGGGUUAAACCUGAAGAGUUCCAGCCAAACAGCAGCAACAGUUUUGUGUUUUCAGUUAAGUCUAUUAAAAAUGAAACCAUAUUUAGUAAACCAAAUACAAAUAAUUAAGAAUUCCAUUUAAAUUAUGGAAUGUAAUAGACUUACAUUCUGCGCAGUAUUUUAAUUGCAACCAUCUCAUUGGUCUUGUGGUCCCGACAUUUGAACACCUGACCAAAUGCGCCUUGACCCAUCACUUCAAGCACCUCAUAUCGAUAGGCAAUGUGGUCAUGAGCAACCUGUGAACAACACAAAAGAAACAUUUAAUAUCCAAAACCAGAAGCUCACAGCUGCUGGUGCAUCUCAGUUAUCGAUUGUAUGUAUCGAAAAAGUAAUCAGUGGACUUCAGUAUUAAUAUAUCUGUAAUAUUGUUGUGUGAUUUUAAGUAUGAUUGUAAAACAAUUUCAAAUCAAAUCAAUAGCUGCGUCUCAUUUCAAAGGCUGCGUCCUCCGGAGGUCGCAUUUGAAGACUGCAUAUGUCAUCAAGCCCUUCUCAUUUAAGAAGAGUAACCAUUAGAUUGCAAAGAAACAAAGAAAUUACAGUAUUUUACACCUCACAAUGAAUAACAGUUAAUUUUAUUACGGUUACUUUUCUUAAAUAAGACAUCCUUGAUGAAGUAUGUAACCUCUGAAGAGAGACGCAGCUAAUAUAUUAAAUUCUUUGUUUGGGGAGAAGUCGAGUCAUCUUGUUUGAACUUGUUCAUCUUAGCUAAAAGACGCUGACUAGGAAUUGUUUUUCUUUGUGGAAGCUUUGAGAUUAUUACAAGUGUUCUCAAAUAUUUAAAUAUUUGUGUCCAAAUAUUUAUUUAUGUGCCCAGGAGCUGUGUAAUGAUUGGGAUAAUGUACAUCCACACAG